rnacentral:tRNA from 1 species
UGUUUUGUGGCUUAGUUGGUUAAAGCGCCGGUCUUGCGAAUACGGAGUCGUGGGAUCGAAUCCCACCAGAACGU